rnacentral:rRNA from 1 species
CUUUUCUAUUUUUUGUUUGUCCACAUCCAGCAUUUUCACAGCCCAAGUGUAUCGUCCAGGAACUGUUUCAUCCCUCGUCCACUCGCAUUUCGUCACCCCGCUCGCCUUUUUCCUCCAGGCGGCGGCGAUUCUUGUGACCGAAGAUGGAGAGGCAUUCUUGUUUGAUUCUUUGCUCCGCGCGGUGUUUGUGUGUACUGUCAUCCAUCUAGGGUUUGCCCAAACGAGAGUUCUCUGAGUACAAAUGCGAGGGGGAUUUUCAAGAUGGUAGUUGUGGGUGGGGAGGGGGUAGAUUUCGUGUCUAGAUGUUCAGGUAGAUGGUAGGAUUCCAUUCCUUUUUUCAGAAAUAAGUUGAUUUUGAUCUAGUGUUUUUCUGUCCAAAUCAAACAGAGAUUCAUGGGGUUGGUAAUUUUGGGUUGCUUGGUUCGGCAGUGCAGCAGUGGGUUUCUUUUUCAGUGGGUUUCUUUUUGUCAGUUACUUUGUAUGUCUGAAUAUCAAUUACUAGUUACUAGUUUGGAUAGUUUCGUCAGUGUUAGCAUCUGUUUCAGACUAAAUUUCAUUUUUGCUAGCUAUGUCAGUCAGUGUAACUGCUUAUCUGCUACAUACGUCAGUGUCAAUGGCUAUAUGUGAUAUCUUUUUUUUUCAAUGCUAUCUAUGUGUGUGUGAACAAUGUAGUUUCUGGAUGCUUUUUAUGGCUAAAUGAUACGUACUAAAUAUGUUGUCGCCUGAACUAUCUAUGUUGCCAUAUGCAAAGUAUGACUACAAAAUGCUACACUGUGUAGUUACUAGUUUGUAUGUAUGAUAUUCCAGUUACUAGUUAUAUAACAUUUUUUUUUCAAGCACGCAAGUGUUUUAUGCUCUGAUUUGUUCUGCUAAAAAAGCAUGGGUUGUUUGAUGUAGUUCUUGUAAGGUUGUAUAAGGAUGUUAGCAUUUCCCAACAUGAGUGGGACAUUUUUCUAUGUCUUAUUCUUGGCAAAGUUCUAUUAGGAUCCCACCUUAUAUAUUCUUGGCAUCUAGGUUUUGUUGUUUUGAGGUAGGAAACAUCAAGAACUCGAGAUUUGGAGCGGAACAAGAUAGUUGUGUGCAGAUUUUUUUCUGUGUGCUAGUUGUAGGAAUAUCUACUGUAAUUCUUUUAGAUCAAACGGAGACCAGAUGAAAUGUUUUUAGUGUUUUGUGCAGAAUGUCUGAACCAUUUUUAUGUUUUUGUUCUAGAAGCAGGUGUAUUUCUAGGUUUCUUUAGGGUUCUAGGGUUUCUUUUUUUGCGUUUUGGCAGUGAGCACUGAGCAGGUUCCAGUACCUUUUUUUAUUGCGAGCCCGAUGAAUUACCUUUUUUCAGUACAUUUGGUCCCUAAUACCUCGGAUCAGUGGGAAUGCUCUCUGUUUUUUCGAGUUGUUUCCUCAGUAGAUUUAUCCCCCUUUUCAAAUAGGGGCUCCAUCUUUCGUUUACAAGUGAAUUUUUAGGUACAGGCAACAUUACCUUCAUGUAUACUAACAUUCUUAUUCUAGACAUUUGUUUUAGAUAACAGAUUGUAGCAAAACUAAUCUGGGUUUUUUUAGAUAAUUUUUAGGGGAAAUAUCUCUGGGUUUAGUAGUUGUUUGUUUUUUAGAGUCCAGUACAAUUUUCUACUAGAAUGGGAAAUGGUACAAAACUGAUGCUCCUGUGCAGUUGUAUUCUGCAUGCCUGGUGCUUUUUGCUCAUCCAAAUGGGGACCCAACAGGCUUAUGUCCUUUCUAAAUAUGUCCUAUGUAGUGUUUAUUAUUUACAUGUAUUUUUUUUUGUAACAAAAACAAAGUUUUUAUUGUAGUCUGUGUGGCAGCAAUCAUCUUAAUAACUUCAGUGAAAAGCACUAGUUUCUAGAUAGAUGCAUAGCGAGGGGUGAUAUCAUUUUGUAACAGAAACUAAGUUUUCUGGGAUGAUCUGAAUUAUAUACAUUUUGUUAUUCCUCUGCUG